AACGAACGCUGGCGGCAGGCUUAACACAUGCAAGUCGAGCGCCCCGCAAGGGGAGCGGCAGACGGGUGAGUAACGCGUGGGAACGUACCCUUUGCUACGGAAUAGCUCCGGGAAACUGGAAUUAAUACCGUAUGUGCCCUACGGGGGAAAGAUUUAUCGGCAAAGGAUCGGCCCGCGUUGGAUUAGCUAGUUGGUGGGGUAAUGGCCUACCAAGGCGACGAUCCAUAGCUGGUCUGAGAGGAUGAUCAGCCACAUUGGGACUGAGACACGGCCCAAACUCCUACGGGAGGCAGCAGUGGGGAAUAUUGGACAAUGGGCGCAAGCCUGAUCCAGCCAUGCCGCGUGAGUGAUGAAGGCCUUAGGGUUGUAAAGCUCUUUCACCGGAGAAGAUAAUGACGGUAUCCGGAGAAGAAGCCCGGCUAACUUCGUGCCAGCAGCCGCGGUAAGAGUACUCUAU
rnacentral:rRNA from 1 species